UGGGGAAUCUUGGACAAUGGGGCAACCCUGAUCCAGCCAUGCCGCGUGAGUGAUGAAGGCCUUAGGGUCGUAAAGCUCUUUCGCCUGUGAAGAUAAUGACGGUAGCAGGUAAAGAAACCCCGGCUAACUCCGUGCCAGCAGCCGCGGUAAUACGGAGGGUGCGAGCGUUAAUCGGAAUUACUGGGCGUAAAGCGCGCGUAGGCGGUUGCUUAAGUCGGAUGUGAAAGCCCCGGGCUCAACCUGGGAACUGCAUUCGAUACUGGGCGACUAGAGUACGAGAGAGGGAGGUAGAAUUCCACGUGUAGCGGUGAAAUGCGUAGAUAUUUGGAGGAACACCAGUGGCGAAGGCGGCUCACUGGCUCGAUACUGACGCUGAGGUGCGAAAGUGUGGGGAGCAAACAGGAUUAGAUACCCUGGUAGUCCACACCGUAAACGAUGAAUGCCAGUCGUCGGGUAGCAUGCUAUUCGGUGA
rnacentral:rRNA from 1 species